rnacentral:piRNA from 1 species
CCCUACCCCUAGAGCUUUCAAACAUGUCU